GCCGAGAUAGCUCAGGGGUAGAGCGCGUCCUUGGUAAGGACGAGGUCGUGGGUUCAAUUCCCAUUCUUGGCUCAA
rnacentral:tRNA from 1 species